AUUGAACGCUGGCGGCAGGCUUAACACAUGCAAGUCGAGCGGGGGAAGGUAGCUUGCUACUGGACCUAGCGGCGGACGGGUGAGUAAUGCUUAGGAAUCUGCCUAUUAGUGGGGGACAACAUCUCGAAAGGGAUGCUAAUACCGCAUACGUCCUACGGGAGAAAGCAGGGGAUCACUUGUGACCUUGCGCUAAUAGAUGAGCCUAAGUCGGAUUAGCUAGUUGGUGGGGUAAAGGCCUACCAAGGCGACGAUCUGUAGCGGGUCUGAGAGGAUGAUCCGCCACACUGGGACGGAGACACGGCCCAGACUCCUACGGGAGGCAGCAGUGGGGAAUAUUGGACAAUGGGGGGAACCCUGAUCCAGCCAUGCCGCGUGUGUGAAGAAGGCCUUAUGGUUGUAAAGCACUUUAAGCGAGGAGGAGGCUCUUUUGGUUAAUACCCAAGAUGAGUGGACGUUACUCGCAGAAUAAGCGCCGGCUAACUCUGUGCCAGCCGCCGCGGUAA
rnacentral:rRNA from 1 species